ACGCGACCCCUGGUCAGGCGGGGCUACCCGCUGAGUUU
rnacentral:rRNA from 2 species